AUUGAACGCUGGCGGCAGGCCUAACACAUGCAAGUCGAGCGAGCGGCGGACGGGUGAGUAAUGUAUGGGGACUGCCCGAUAGAGGGGGAUAACUACUGGAAACGGUAGCUAAUACCGCAUACUAUCGGAUAACCCAUAUGGGAUUAGCUAGUUGGUGAGGUAAUGGCUCACCAAGGCGACGAUCCCUAGCUGGUCUGAGAGGAUGAUCAGCCACACUGGGACUGAGACACGGCCCAGACUCCUACGGAGGCAGCAGUGGGGAAUAUUGCACAAUGGGCGCAAGCCUGAUGCAGCGACGCCGCGUGGGGGAUGAAGGCUUUCGGGUUGUAAACCUCUUUCGCUAUCGAACGGGUAGGUGGAGAAGAAGCGCCGGCUAACUACGUGCCAGCAGCCGCGGUAAUUC
rnacentral:rRNA from 1 species